CUGUGUGUCUUUGUAGGUUGGGCAAUAAACAGACUGUCUUUAAUUAAACUCGGGCUGACCAACAGGGAAUGUCUGAGAUAAGAGUCCAGAAAUGAUUUCUGCCUGAAACCCAUGAUAGAAAUGAUCCAGUGUCACGCACAGGCCUGCGUUUAAAGGCUGUGACCCUACAAUGGAAACCCAUGUUGAGAAAGACUGCAGGAAGUUGAUGAAUGAGUGACCCUGUGACCCGAACUCCCACUACACCCUGCAGGAUGUACCACAGUUUUGACCCCUGACCGGUUUCUAUUACUCUCGGAGAUAGUUUCCUCAGAUGAGUCACCUGCUGUCUGGACCGUCGUCUGACUGACCACUAAACACUAAUGGAGGGUGAGUACAGCAGACUGAGUUUGGAGGAAGCCGCUGGCCUGAUGCCAGGUCAUGCUGUGGAGACGCUCUGACGCCAUCCUGCUGAGAUCCGGCUUAAAGGAAGUGGUGGAGAAACAUCUGGAGGUUGUUUGGAGCUCCUUCCAGGGCAGUAAGAGGGUUAGGAGCCUGGGACGGACACCACCUGUCUGGAGCUGUUGACAACGGAGGAUGUGCUCUGACAUAAUACUCAGCUUCCUCACUACAGGCAAGGAAAGAGGAACACAACAUGCAUGCAUCCAUCCAUCCACAUAAACAUUGCAUCUUUCAACAUUGCACCAUUAAACAAUACCCUGUUAGUGAGAGCCACUGUGCAUGUGUUUGUGUUGGUGACAACCGUUGACAUUCGUGUUGUUAUAAUGAUUACCAAAAAAAAAAAAAAUGUUGCCUCAUCCCAGAGUUUUACAGUAAGGCACAAUCUAUGUAUAUGGCCACAUUGAACACAGAAAUGUUCACUGUUUCAAAAGUGCAGACAUGAUAAAUGAUCAUAAAUGUUAAAUGUGUUUUGAGACUAUAGAGAGUUACACUUUUGAAAAUAAAGGUGCUUUAACAUCCACGGAAUCAUCCCAUUGCGGACAACAGGACAAUUUUCUCUGAAAACACAUUUUUUCCUCUCCAUUUUGGCCUUCCGUCCUCACGUAGAUGGCAUUUUUGUCAACAUAGACGGAGCUUUUUGAAAACAGCAAAAUUGGGGUAUUCAAAAACGAUGACAUGUUUAGUCAUGUGAUACAUAUUCUACCUAUAGAUAUCUAUGCUUGUACUGCCGUUGUUGUACCUACUAUUUACUUUCAUUGUGUUGCUAAAGAUAAAUGUUCCUUUUUUUAGAAUCUGCAUUUUGCAUUCCUGAGAAGAUGACCGAAAAUGUUCUUGCAAUUGCUAUCCUACAGCAAAAUUGCAAUUUAGACCAUACGGUUUUGAAUGCAACCUGGUUAGCGGUGGGAUGUUUUGCUAAUCAUGCCAGAAGAAUAUCGUGAGAAGUUUAUUGUUGUUCUCUCGGUAUCAUCUUGUGAGAUUUGAUUAUGUUUUAUGAAUGUUAAAGCAUUUUCAGUUUCAGUGUGGAUGAGCAACAUUUGGAAAACACUUUGGAAAGCAUUUUGAAACAAAAACACUGUUUUUAAAUAUUUCCGGAUAGAUGUAGCCUUAUGAGAGUGUAGAAAAAGACUAUUUAAACUCAACUCAAAAAUUCAACUCUAUCUCACGACCAAUUCGGACGAAUUUGUAUGAGUGAUUAAAAGGUAGCUAAUUCAUAAGAAUUCGUAUGACCUCUCGUGUACGAUUUUGUACUAUUUGUCUAACCACGUGAUGGGUAGGUUUAGGAGCGGGGUCAGGGGUAGGUCAUUCAUACGAAUUGAGCAACUCGUAAAAUA